rnacentral:rRNA from 1 species
GCGCAGCAGGCGAGAAUACUGUACAAUGCGCGAAAGCGCGAUACGGGGAGCCUGAGUGCCUUAACAUUUGUUAAGGCUUUUCACAAGCCUAAAAAGCUUGUGGAAUAAGAACUGGGUAAGACGGGUGCCAGCCGCCGCGGUAACACCCGCGGUUCGAGUGGUAGUCACUUUUAUUGAGCCUAAAGCGUUCGUAGCCGGAUUCGUAAAUCUCUAGGAAAAUCCUUCUGCCCAACAGAAGAAAUUCUGGAGAGACUGCGAAUCUAGGGACCGGGUGAGGUUGAAUGUACUUCUGGGGUAGGGGUAAAAUCCUGUAAUCCUGGAAGGACGACCGGUGGCGAAGGCGUUCAACUAGAACGGAUCCGACGGUGAGGAACGAAGGCUAGGGGAGCAAACCGGAUUAGAUACCCCCGUAGUCC